rnacentral:lncRNA from 1 species
UCCAAUCAGAACCUGUGGAGGUGUGCGUACAACAGCCAGGCAACUUAAAACUAAGAAACAACAGGAAUGGUAAAAGAUGGAUGUGUCUGCUUUUACUUCCAUGUCACAAAGUCUAAAAGACCAUGCAGGUUCUGGAGCUUUCUGAGGGACCUUUUUGGGCUAAUGAAGCAGAUGAUGAACUUUCAGAGGAACACAGUGACGGCGUGCCCUCGGAGACCAUCUCAGCCUAACGCACCGGGUGUAGGACAGAUUCUUGAAUGGUCACUGCUUACAGGAAAUAAGUGAUUGGACAUGCAAAUCUAUGCCAAUUUUAACCUCAAUAUAAGGACAAGUCCUGGCCCACGGACCUGACGGACCUCAGCCAAACUGCCAUGCUUUAGCUCUUGGGUCUCUGUGCAUCAGCUCAGCCAGCCACACAGCAGAAAGAGGAGGCGCACCAGCCCAUGUGCUUAAAGCACUACUGGUCCCAGGAGAUAGCAGAGCUUCCUCGACCCAUCCAGCAUCCAGGUGAGUCUUUAGAAAUGAAACAAUUCAUUCUAACACAAUGUCUGGUUUUCAGUGAGUCGAAGAAGAUAGUGUCUGAAAAGAAGCCCGCAGGAACGGUGUCUCCUCCGACAUGAAGUCCCACUCCAGAGCUCCGCCCUCAUCAGUGCAACACAACACAAUGGCCAGACACCUGGGUGUGGACACUUCCAUGCUCCGUAGAGCCAUCUGGAACUAUAUUCAGGGCAAGUUUGGGAUUCGGUAAGUCUCUUCACUGCUCACAGUUUCAGAAAUAUGUAGCAACAUUGAAUACAUUUAUUCAUUCUACAAAGAACCUUUUAAAAUGAUAAAGAUGUCUCCGAGACUCCCCCGGGGCCUUCAAAUAAGCACCAGCGGGAGAUCAUUUGUUUAUGCAUCUCAACAGGUCCAAGGCCAGCGGUUUAACAUACGCUUCUGGCAUGUGUGCGCUGAGAUGCUGGACCAGAGGAGGACAGACAUGCUGUACGGACAAGCUGUCUCUCCACUACUCACAGUUUGCAUUCAUGCUGUCAAUGUACCAGACCAGGCAAUCUGAACAAGUUGGUCUGAAAACGGUGUAUCCAGAGUCUAAAAGGGAUCGACAAGUAUAUGGACAAAUCCACAACAAUGUUAGAAAUGUUCCUGCUACACGGAUUAGUCCACUUGACUAUUUCAGGGAAUGCCUUUUUAACCACAAAAUAAUAUUAAUCGUCUUUACUCCACUCCUCCCUGUAUUUCCUCAGCUCUUUUACUUCCUUCUGUAA